GACGAACCGUGCGAACGUUGUUCGGAAUCACUGGGCAUAAAGGGCGCGUAGGCGGCUUAUCAAGUCAGGGGUGAAAUCCGGCAGCUCAACUGUCGAAGUGCCUUUGAUACUGAUGAGCUCGAGGGAGGUAGGGGUCUGUGGAACUUCCGGUGGAGCGGUGAAAUGCGUUGAUAUCGGAAGGAACGCCGGUGGCGAAAGCGACGGACUGGACCUCUUCUGACGCUGAGGCGCGAAGGCGUGGGGAGCGAACGGG
rnacentral:rRNA from 1 species